rnacentral:rRNA from 1 species
UGGUAAUUCUAGAGCUAAUACAUGCUGAAAACCCCGACUUCGGGAGGGGUGUAUUUAUUAGAUAAAAAACCAACGCCCUUCGGGGCUCCUUGGUGAUUCAUGAUAACUUAACGAAUCGCAUGGCCUUGCGCCGGCGAUGGUUCAUUCAAAUUUCUGCCCUAUCAACUUUCGAUGGUAGGAUAGUGGCCUACCAUGGUAUCAACGGGUAACGGGGAAUUAGGGUUCGAUUCCGGAGAGGGAGCCUGAGAAACGGCUACCACAUCCAAGGAAGGCAGCAGGCGCGCAAAUUACCCAAUCCCGACACGGGGAGGUAGUGACAAUAAAUACUGAUACAGGGCUCUUUUGGGUCUUGUAAUUGGAAUGAGUACAAUUUAAAUCCCUUAACGAGGAACAAUUGGAGGGCAAGUCUGGUGCCAGCAGCCGCGGUAAUUCCAGCUCCAAUAGCGUAUAUUAAAGUUGUUGCAGUUAAAAAGCUCGUAGUUGAACCUUGGGCCUGGCCGGCCGGUCCGCCUCACCGCGUGCACUGGUUCGGCCGGGCCUUUCCUUCUGGGGAGCCGUAUGCCCUUCACUGGGUGUGCUGGGGAACCAGGACUUUUACUUUGAAAAAAUUAGAGUGUUCAAAGCAGGCCUUUGCUCGGAUACAUUAGCAUGGAAUAAUAGAAUAGGACGUGCGGUUCUAUUUUGUUGGUUUCUAGGACCGCCGUAU